AUAUGGUCUAUUAGCUCAGUCGGUAGAGCACCUGACUUUUAAUCAGGGUGUCCCGCGUUCGAGUCGCGGAUAGAUCACCAAAAAGGUGGCGACAUAGCCAAGUGGUAAGGCAGUGGACUGCAACUCCUUGAUCCCCAGUUCGAAUCUGGGUGUCGCCUCCAAAAUAUUCCAAGGUAGCUCAACGGUGGAGCAACCGGCUGUUAACCGGUAGGCUGUGGGUUCGAGCCCCACCCUUGGAGCCAAAAAAGCCGAAGUGGCGGAACUGGCAGACGCACAGGACUUAAAAUCCUGCGGGACUUACCUCUCGUACCGGUUCGAUUCCGGUCUUCGGCACUUAUAAAACAAUAUCGCGGAGUGGAGCAGUUGGCAGCUCGUCGGGCUCAUAACCCGAAGGUCGUAGGUUCAAGUCCUGCCUCCGCAACCAUUAAAAUGGCUCGUUGGUCAAGAGGUUAAGACACCGCCCUUUCACGGCGGUAACAGGGGUUCAAUUCCCCUACGAGUCACCAAUUAAAUAUGCGGGUGUAGCUCAAUGGUAGAGUUCUGGCCUUCCAAGCCAGCUGUGAGGGUUCGAUCCCCUUCACCCGCUCCAAAAAUGGGACCAUAGCUCAGCUGGGAGAGCACCUGCCUUACAAGCAGGGGGUCACAGGUUCGAGCCCUGUUGGUCCCACCAUUUGCGGCCUGGUAGUUCAGUUGGUUAGAAUGCCAGCCUGUCACGCUGGAGGUCGAGGGUUCGANUGAAACCCUGCACUUACAAGCUGUGGAAGCACAUUUCUUGUGUGACCGCGUACUUUUUGUAGAACGGGCCAACGAGUUACGUUAAGUAGCAAGGUUAAGCACUUAAGGUGCGGAGCCGUAGCGAAAGCGAGUUUUAACUGAGCGUUCAGUUACUUGACGUAGACCCGAAACCGGGCGACCUACCCAUGAGCAGGAUGAAGCGAAAGUAAAAUUUCGUGGAGGUCCGAACCCACGAGCGUUGAAAAGCUCGGGGAUGACUUGUGGGUAGCGGUGAAAUUCCAAUCGAGCCCGGAGAUAGCUGGUUCUCCCCGAAAUAGCUUUAGGGCUAGCCUCAAGGUGAGAGAUACGGAGGUAGAGCACUGAAUGUCCUAGGGGGUAUUGCACCUACCGAAGACUAUCAAACUCCGAAUGCCGUCAUCUUAUACUUGGGAGUCAGACUGUGGGUGAUAAGAUUCAUAGUCGAAAGGGCAACAGCCCAGAUCGUCAGCUAAGGUCCCUAAAUGUAAGUUAAGUGGUAAAGGAUGUGGGAUUGCACAGACAACCAGGAUGUUGGCUUAGAAGCAGCCACUCAUUCAAAGAGUGCGUAAUAGCUCACUGGUCGAGUGAUCCUGCGCCGAAGAUUUCCGGGGCUAAAACUUACUACCGAAGCUACGGCAUCAGUAAUGAUGGGUAGGGGAGCUUCCCAUACGGGUUGAAGCAUGACCGUAAGGACAUGUGGACAGUAUGGGAGUGAGAAUGUUGGCAUGAGUAGCGAGAUGUGGGUGAGAAUCCCACAGGCCGUAAACCCAAGGUUUCCAGGGGAAGGUUCGUCCGCCCUGGGUUAGUCGGGACCUAAGCUGAGGCCGAAAGGCGUAGGUGAUGGACAACAGGUUGAUAUUCCUGUACUACCGAUAACCGUUUGAGAGAAGGGAUGACACAGUAGGAUAAGCUAAGCACACUGUUGGUUAUGUGUGCCCAAGCAUUGAGGCAGUCAAAGUAGGCAAAUCCGCUUUGAUAAUGCUGGGAUGUGAUGGGGAGCGAAAUUUAGUAGCGAAGUAGCUGAUUUCACACUGUCAAGAAAAGUCUCUAUCGAGGUUAAAGGUACCCGUACCGCAAACCGACACAGGUGGGUGAGGAGAGUAUCCUAAGGCCAGCGAGAGAACUGUUGUUAAGGAACUCGGCAAAAUGACCCCGUAACUUAGGGAUAAGGGGUGCCACCAUCAGGUGGCCGCAGAGAAUAGGCCCAAGCGACUGUUUACCAAAAACAUAGGUUUCUGCUAAGUCGCAAGACGAUGUAUAGGAGCUGACGCCUGCCCGGUGCUGGAAGGUUAAGGGGAUCUGUUAGAGCAAUCGAAGCAGUGAACUUAAGCCCCAGUAAACGGCGGCCGUAACUAUAACGGUCCUAAGGUAGCGAAAUUCCUUGUCGGGUAAGUUCCGACCCGCACGAAAGGCGUAACGAUUUGGGCACUGUCUCAACAACAGACUCGGUGAAAUUGUAAUUCCGGUGAAGAUGCCGGAUACCUGCGACAGGACGGAAAGACCCCAUGGAGCUUUACUGUAGCUUGACAUUGGGUCUUGGUACUACAUGUACAGGAUAGGUGGGAGGCUUUGAAACCAGGACGCCAGUUUUGGCGGAGCCAUCCUUGGGAUACCACCCUUGUAGUACUGGGACUCUAACCAUAGGCCAUGAAUCUGGUCUUGGGACACUGUCAGGUGGGCAGUUUGACUGGGGCGGUCGCCUCCCAAAAGGUAACGGAGGCGCUCAAAGGUUCUCUCAGUACGGUCGGAAAUCGUACGUAGAGUGUAAAGGCAAAAGAGAGCUUGAUUGCAAGACAUACAGGUCGAGCAAGGAUGAAAAUCGGACUUAGUGAUCCGGUGGUUCUGCGUGGAAGGGCCAUCGCUCAACGGAUAAAAGCUACCCUGGGGAUAACAGGCUUAUCUCCCCCAAGAGUCCACAUCGACGGGGAGGUUUGGCACCUCGAUGUCGGCUCAUCACAUCCUGGGGCUGUAGUAGGUCCCAAGGGUUGGGCUGUUCGCCCAUUAAAGUGGUACGCGAGCUGGGUUCAGAACGUCGUGAGACAGUUCGGUCCCUAUCCGUCGCAGGCGUAGGAAAUUUGAGAAGACCUGUCCUUAGUACGAGAGGACCGGGAUGGACGUACCUCUGGUGUACCAGUUGUUCUGCCAAGGGCAUGGCUGGGUAGCUAUGUACGGAAUGGAUAAGCGCUGAAAGCAUCUAAGCGCGAAGCCAACUUCAAGAUAAGAUUUCCCACCGCAAGGGUAAGACCCCAGAAAGACUAUCUGGUUGAUAGGUCGAAGGUGUAAGUGCAGCAAUGUAUUUAGCUUAUCGAUACUAAUAGGUCGAGGACUUGACCAA
rnacentral:rRNA from 1 species